UGCGUCUGUAACUCAGCCCGGAUAGAGUACCUCCGUCCUAAGGAGGGAGUCGAAGGUUCAAAUCCUUCCAGACGCGU
rnacentral:tRNA from 1 species